AUUGAACGCUGGCGGCAGGCUUAACACAUGCAAGUCGAGCGGGGGAAGGUAGCUUGCUACCGGACCUAGCGGCGGACGGGUGAGUAAUGCUUAGGAAUCUGCCUAUUAGUGGGGGACAACAUCUCGAAAGGGAUGCUAAUACCGCAUACGUCCUACGGGAGAAAGCAGGGGAUCUUCGGACCUUGCGCUAAUAGAUGAGCCUAAGUCGGAUUAGCUAGUUGGUGGGGUAAAGGCCUACCAAGGCGACGAUCUGUAGCGGGGCUGAGAGGAUGAUCCGCCACACUGGGACUGAGACACGGCCCAGACUCCUACGGGAGGCAGCAGUGGAGAAUAUUGGACAAUGGGGGGAACCCUGAUCCAGCCAUGCCGCGUGUGUGAAGAAGGCCUUAUGGUUGUAAAGCACUUUAAGCGAGGAGGAGGCUACUUUAGUUAAUACCUAGGGAUAGUGGACGUUACUCGCAGAAUAAGCACCGGCUAACUCUGUGCCAGCCGCCGCCGUAA
rnacentral:rRNA from 1 species